AGUCAAGUAAUUAAGUGCAUGUGGUGGAUGCCUUGGCAGUCAGAGGCGAUGAAAGACGUGAUAGCCUGCGAAAAGCUCCGGGGAGGCGGCAAAUAUCCUUUGAUCCGGAGAUGUCUGAAUGGGGGAACCCACCUACUUUAAGGUAGGUAUUGCAACAUGAAUACAUAGUGUUGCAAGGCGAACGAGGGGAAGUGAAACAUCUCAGUACCCUUAGGAAAAGAAAUCAAUUGAGAUUCCCUCAGUAGCGGCGAGCGAACGGGGAUCAGCCCAUUAAGUUAUGUGUGUUUUAGUGGAACGCUCUGGGAAGUGCGAACGUAGAGGGUGAUAUUCCCGUACACGAAAGGGCACACAUAAUGAUGACGAGUAGGGCGAGGCACGUGAAACCUUGUCUGAAUAUGGGGGGACCAUCCUCCAAGGCUAAAUACUCCUGACUGACCGAUAGUGAACCAGUACCGUGAGGGAAAGGCGAAAAGAACCCCUGUGAGGGGAGUGAAAUAGAUCCUGAAACCGCAUGCAUACAAGCAGUGGGAGCACCUUCGUGGUGUGACUGCGUACCUUUUGUAUAAUGGGUCAGCGACUUAUAUUCAGUAGCAAGGUUAACCGUAUAGGGGAGCCGUAGAGAAAUCGAGUCUUAAUAGGGCGUUUAGUUGCUGGGUAUAGACCCGAAACCAGGCGAUCUAUCCAUGAGCAGGUUGAAGGUUGGGUAACACUAACUGGAGGACCGAACCCACUGUCGUUGAAAAGCCAGGGGAUGACUUGUGGAUAGGGGUGAAAGGCUAAUCAAGCCUGGUGAUAGCUGGUUCUCCCCGAAAGCUAUUUAGGUAGCGCCUCGGACGAAUACCAUAGGGGGUAGAGCACUGUUUCGGCUAGGGGGUCAUCCCGACUUACCAAACCGAUGCAAACUCCGAAUACCUAUGAGUACUAUCCGGGAGACAGACUGCGGGUGCUAACGUCCGUAGUCAAGAGGAAAACAAUCCAGACCGCCAGCUAAGGCCCCAAAAUCAUAGUUAAGUGGGAAACGAUGUGGGAAGGCAUAGACAGCUAGGAGGUUGGCUUAGAAGCAGCCACCCUUUAAAGAAAGCGUAAUAGCUCACUAGUCGAGUCGGCCUGCGCGGAAGAUGUAACGGGGCUAAAACUAUGUGCCGAAGCUGCGGAUUUGACAUUAGUCAAGUGGUAGGGGAGCGUUCUGUAAGCCGAUGAAGGUGUAUUGAGAAGUAUGCUGGAGGUAUCAGAAGUGCGAAUGCUGACGUGAGUAACGACAAAACGGGUGAAAAACCCGUUCGCCGAAAGACCAAGGGUUCCAGUCCAACGUUAAUCGGGGCUGGGUGAGUCGACCCCUAAGGCGAGGCCGAAAGGCGUAGUCGAUGGGAAAAUGGUUAAUAUUCCAUUACUUCUGUGUAAUGCGAUGAGAGGACGGAGAAGGCUAAAUCAGCCUGGCGUUGGUUGUCCAGGUGAAAGGAUGUAGGCAUGUAUCUUAGGCAAAUCCGGGGUACUCUAUGCUGAGAUCUGAUAGCAAGCUGUACUUGUACAGCGAAGUGGUUGAUGCCAUGCUUCCAGGAAAAGUCUCUAAGCUUCAGUUACACAGGAAUCGUACCCGAAACCGACACAGGUGGUCAGGUCGAGUAGACCAAGGCGCUUGAGAGAACUCUGCUGAAGGAACUAGGCAAAAUGGUACCGUAACUUCGGGAGAAGGUACGCUGUUGUUGGUGAUGGAACUCGCUUCCUGAGCUGACGACAGCCGCAGAAACCAGGCCGCUGCAACUGUUUAUUAAAAACAUAGCACUCUGCAAACACGAAAGUGGACGUAUAGGGUGUGAUGCCUGCCCGGUGCUGGAAGGUUAAUUGAUGGGGUUAGCGUAAGCGAAGCUCUUGAUCGAAGCCCCAGUAAACGGCGGCCGUAACUAUAACGGUCCUAAGGUAGCGAAAUUCCUUGUCGGGUAAGUUCCGACCUGCACGAAUGGCAUAAUGAUGGCGGCGCUGUCUCCAGCAGAGGCUCAGUGAAAUCGAAAUCGCUGUGAAGAUGCA
rnacentral:rRNA from 1 species